CACUUCAGAGCAGGCGAACUUUGAAGGUGUCUUCAUUGAAAAAGAUGAGGAAGUUGCUGAGUUUAUGAAAUACAUCCAGAGACACACAAAUGAUGUAAGAGACUCAUAUAUAUAUAUAUAUUAGUGCUGUCAGCGUUAAUCUUGUUAAAAUGACGUUAACGCCAUAAACAUAUACACGUGUGUGUGUGUGUGUGUGUGUGUGUAUAAAUGCAUAUGGAUGGGUGUAUAUUCAUUUUAUUUUUCUCUUGGUGUUGUUAUAAUACUAUUUACUUUACUUUUUCUUAAUGUAUACUUAAUUUUAGCGUCCCAGGACAUAUUACUUUCCUUUGCUCCGAUGUGUCCUGUAAAUAUUUCCCAUAUUUAAUCAAGGUGGCUCAGCUGAGGAACCUCUUGUCAAUGCGUCCAUUUCUCUCCGUCAUGCAUGCAAAGGCUCUCAUUUGGAAAUGCGAGGGCGAACAGACAUGCUGACCCUCCUGGCUUUGGGGUGGACCAAAAGGAAAGUGGAACAACUGGUUUGAGCCAGAGAUAUCUAAAGGUGAUUUUUUUUUUUCAACACCCAUUUAAAUGUGUGUGGUAAUGGGGGAAAAACACCUGUACUGUAAAAACAUCAAUGCGAAUGACAUUUAUUAAUGUAUUCUUAGAUCAUAAGGAUCCUUAGAGAACAAAUGGAGAGCCUGAAUAUGACCAGAAAUGAGCUGGGUGUGGAUGACGACACACUGCAGCAAUGGGUGGCCGAUGUGCAGAAAUGGGCUGAAGAAACUGAUCAAACUGAUGGCAGCCUUGGAGCGUUGCAGGCACGACUAGAGGAGCUUGUCGUCAUCAUCAGAGUGCGAACACAAAGUCUUUACAGACAAAAUGAUAGCAACAAGAGGCGACACAGAAUUCGCAAGGUCAUCUUAGAUGAGAAGAAACGCUUGGCGGCUGCUGUUGACGACUACAACAAGCUUGCUGAACCAACAAAGCAAAUCGUAUCCAGUGAUGCCCUCAUCCAGACCGACAUUUGGCUCUGGCAGAGCACAAGUGAACCUGCUGCUGAACUCCAGACAAAGAGAGAGGUCUUUGAGAAGGUGAUGGCUGUGAGGCGCCUGAGAGAGGACGAGAUGAUCCUUUGCAGGGAGAUGCGGCAUCACUGGACAGUGUUGCAAAUGCGAUCUGUGGUGUUGGGGACAAUCUCCUCAGACUCCUCCUUUGUUGGCAUGUCGGAGGAUGCACAGAAGGGACUCCGUAGCCUGGUUUAAAAAAACAAAGUGAACUGAAAGCUGAAAUGCUCAAAAUAAAGGACACGUACAAGAGAAUCCUCAGCCACCAACCACUCCUGGAAAUGGACUCGGAGGAGGAGGAGGACAUUCCAGACGAUGCCACUGAGAGUGAUUUGAGCACUUCUGAUGAAGACUGAUUGUGUCAUCAUUGAUGUUAUUUUUGGUAAAAUAAAAAGUUAAUCACAUCUCUGUUUAAUGUGAUUUUUCAACAGACAUUUUACAUUUUGAGAAGAAAAAUGGAAUUUCCUUGGUGCAGUUGUUUACCCAUAAUCAUGCUUUCCCAUGUAAUUUAAUGACUAGUGUAAAUGUUCAGAUAGACUAACAUAAUUUAAUUCAUGGAAUGUUUUCUGUGCUGCUCAAAUUACCACAGAAUUUAAAAGCACCAGGCAGCAAACUCACAAGGAAAUUUUUGUUCAGUGUUUUGUCGAAGAAAUCAACAAGUACAAUUGAGAUGUUUGCUGUAGUGGUGUGUUUGUUAAGAAGCAUGCCAGCACACUGGUGAACUGACAGUCCCAGAAUGCACCCGAGCCACUGACUCGCACAAGAGCAAAUGAAACUGCUUAUCUAGGAAGACAACCGUCAUCAAAGAAUAAGUAAAAGAAUAGGAAACUAACGGUAAGGGAAGGUACUGUGCAGUAGGAAAGAAAGGCCAGAGCCGUGCAAAAUGACCUCCAGCAGGCCACAAAUGUGCUCGUCUGCUCAAACGGUCAGGAACGGACUCCAUGAGAGCCCGACAUCCACAGGUGAGGGUUUUGCUUGCAGCCCAACACCGUGCAGGAUGUUUGGCAUUUGCCAGAGAACACAAA
ensembl:lncRNA